AAACAAGGCUCUUUGAUAUGGCGCUCUGUGUAAUCCAUACGGCAUCAAAAGGCGGGCUGGAGAACUCGGGAUUUGAGAAUAAGAUAAAGAUCAGACCAUAUGAUACUGAGAAUGCUGACUCGUCCUUAGUCUUCUCUUAAACAUCGCUGAGGAUGGGAGGAUGGGAAGGACUUGGUAGUGCCAGUCUCCCAAGACCCCACGACCGGGCGUAAAAAACAGGAGAGAGUCAAAAAGGCGGAAGAUAACUCCUUGAGUUUAUCGUUUUCUCCUUCGUGAAGCAUGCCUUAGAGGUUUUGUUGGCUAGAUCGUUACUCCGCAUAAAGGUACGGUCGGAAAUUAAUCCUUCUGCGAUGUCGGAGUGAUUGGCUGCCCGACUACAAACAUCUUGAAUUCUUAACAGGGGACCUUGAGCGUGAUGUUCAACGACUUUGCUUGAAAAUUCCGAAAGCCCAAAACCCUGAGAUGAUUUCUAAGAAGAAUUCAACUUGGUAAAUUAAUAGAAAAACUGAUCAAGUUACGUGGCACUCAAGUGUUCUGAGAGUGAAUAUUUUCCUCUUGCAACGCAUUAAAAUUCGCACUGUGUUGUAAGAGAUAGGAAAACUCAUGUUUAUCAAAACAGGUGUGCGAUCUUUUUCAUCCUGUUUAGAAUUUUGUAAUGCCGCUGAUGAACAUAUAGCUCAUCUUGAUGGUACACGUCACAAUGUUAUAAUGAACAGUUUGUGUUGUUUGCCCUACAUACUAAUAGUAUUUCUGUUAGAAAUUGCGAAUAAGGAGUCGUUGUGGCAAGGUUAGUUUACAUAAAUACGUUUUUUGUGGGACGGAAUAGGAAAAAAUGAGGAGAAAAAAAUAACAACUUAUAUUCGGAAAAAUACUUUGGAUCAAAC